rnacentral:rRNA from 1 species
AGAGUUUGAUCCUGGCUCAGGAUGAACGCUAGCGGCAGGCCUAACACAUGCAAGUCGAGGGGUAUUAGGAGCUUGCUUCUGAGAGACCGUCGCACGGGUGAGUAACGCGUAUGCAAUCUACCUUUCACAAGAGAAUAGCCCGGAGAAAUCCGGAUUAAUGCUCUAUAGUUUAUAGAACUGGCAUCGGUUUUAUAAUAAAGAUUUAUCGGUGAAAGAUGAGCAUGCGUCUCAUUAGCUAGUUGGUGUGGUAACGCCAUACCAAGGCAAUGAUGAGUAGGGGUCCUGAGAGGGAGAUCCCCCACACUGGUACUGAGACACGGACCAGACUCCUACGGGAGGCAGCAGUGAGGAAUAUUGGUCAAUGGAGGCAACUCUGAACCAGCCAUGCCGCGUGCAGGAUGACGAUCCUAUGGAUUGUAAACUGCUUUUGUACAGGAAGAAAUGCAAUUACGUGUAGUUGUUUGACGGUACUGUAAAAUAAGGACCGGC